ACAGCAGUCGCCACGGGAAUACAGAGGGUGCGAGCGUUAAUCGGAUUUACUGGGCGUAAAGCGUGCGUAGGCGGCUUCUUAAGUCGGAUGUGAAAUCCCUGAGCUUAACUUAGGAAUUGCAUUCGAUACUGGGAAGCUAGAGUAUGGGAGAGGAUGGUAGAAUUCCAGGUGUAGCGGUGAAAUGCGUAGAGAUCUGGAGGAAUACCGAUGGCGAAGGCAGCCAUCUGGCCUAAUACUGACGCUGAGGUACGAAAGCAUGGGGAGCAAACAGGAUUAGAGACCCCAGUAGUCCCUGUCUCUUAUAC
rnacentral:rRNA from 1 species